rnacentral:rRNA from 1 species
UACAGAGGGUGCGAGCGUUAAUCGGAAUUACUGGGCGUAAAGCGCGCGUAGGCGGCUUUGCAAGUCGGGUGUGAAAUCCCCAGGCUUAACCUGGGAACUGCAUUCGAGACUGCAUUGCUAGAGUAUGGGAGAGGGAAGUGGAAUUUCAGGUGUAGCGGUGAAAUGCGUAGAUAUGACCCGGAACACCGAUUGCGAAGGCAGCCCACUAAGCAAUGAUUGACGCUGAGGCACGAAAGCGUGGGGAUCAAACAGG